GAUGAACGCUGGCGGCGUGCCUAAUACAUGCAAGUCGAGCGAACGGACGAGAAGCUUGCUUCUCUGAUGUUAGCGGCGGACGGGUGAGUAACACGUGGAUAACCUACCUAUAAGACUGGGAUAACUUCGGGAAACCGGAGCUAAUACCGGAUGAUAUUUUGAACCGCAUGGUUCAAAAGUGAAAGACGGUCUUGCUGUCACUUAUAGAUGGAUCCGCGCUGCAUUAGCUAGUUGGUAAGGUAACGGCUUACCAAGGCAACGAUGCAUAGCCGACCUGAGAGGGUGAUCGGCCACACUGGAACUGAGACACGGUCCAGACUCCUACGGGAGGCAGCAGUAGGGAAUCUUCCGCAAUGGGCGAAAGCCUGACGGAGCAACGCCGCGUGAGUGAUGAAGGUCUUCGGAUCGUAAAACUCUGUUAUUAGGGAAGAACAUAUGUGUAAGUAACUGUGCACAUCUUGACGGUACCUAAUCAGAAAGCCACGGCUAACUACGUGCCAGCAGCCGCGGUAAUACGUAGGUGGCAAGCGUUAUCCGGAAUUAUUGGGCGUAAAGCGCGCGUAGGCGGUUUUUUAAGUCUGAUGUGAAAGCCCACGGCUCAACCGUGGAGGGUCAUUGGAAACUGGAAAACUUGAGUGCAGAAGAGGAAAGUGGAAUUCCAUGUGUAGCGGUGAAAUGCGCAGAGAUAUGGAGGAACACCAGUGGCGAAGGCGACUUUCUGGUCUGUAACUGACGCUGAUGUGCGAAAGCGUGGGGAUCAAACAGGAUUAGAUACCCUGGUAGUCCACGCCGUAAACGAUGAGUGCUAAGUGUUAGGGGGUUUCCGCCCCUUAGUGCUGCAGCUAACGCAUUAAGCACUCCGCCUGGGGAGUACGACCGCAAGGUUGAAACUCAAAGGAAUUGACGGGGACCCGCACAAGCGGUGGAGCAUGUGGUUUAAUUCGAAGCAACGCGAAGAACCUUACCAAAUCUUGACAUCCUUUGACAACUCUAGAGAUAGAGCCUUCCCCUUCGGGGGACAAAGUGACAGGUGGUGCAUGGUUGUCGUCAGCUCGUGUCGUGAGAUGUUGGGUUAAGUCCCGCAACGAGCGCAACCCUUAAGCUUAGUUGCCAUCAUUAAGUUGGGCACUCUAAGUUGACUGCCGGUGACAAACCGGAGGAAGGUGGGGAUGACGUCAAAUCAUCAUGCCCCUUAUGAUUUGGGCUACACACGUGCUACAAUGGACAAUACAAAGGGCAGCGAAACCGCGAGGUCAAGCAAAUCCCAUAAAGUUGUUCUCAGUUCGGAUUGUAGUCUGCAACUCGACUACAUGAAGCUGGAAUCGCUAGUAAUCGUAGAUCAGCAUGCUACGGUGAACACGUUCCCGGGUCU
rnacentral:rRNA from 1 species